UUUUAUCUCUCUACUUUCUUUUUAUUUCACAACUCUCUCUCUCUUCUCUCAGACCCCAUUGCUCUCUAAAAUGAAAAAGAGCUCUCCUUCUUUCACAUUUUUCUCUCAUUUCCUUACUCCUCCUCACCCUUAGCCGCGCAACCACACACACUUUCCUCUGCAAAAAUCCGAACACAGCCUUACCACAGAGGUUCUCGAUCUGGAAGUUUAGCCAUGACAAAGAAAACGCAAACCAGCUACAACCUUGCAGAUCUGGUUCCUGCAAAAGAUCUGUGACAGACCCGAGAAAGAACUCUCAAACUGAAAAUCCACUGGACAUAAAGCAUGGCCCAUCAUGAAGGUUUUGAUCUUUCGACUAUGAAGGAAAUGUGGUCACUGAUAGAUCCGUGGGAAAUAAAGUGGACGGCGAGACCUCAGCUGCAAUAGACAAAAACGGGACAAGCUUCUAAGAACCCAGAUCGGUGAAUCUGGGAGGUA
rnacentral:sRNA from 1 species